rnacentral:lncRNA from 1 species
CACAUGGGCACUACUAAGGUGGGAAAAUGCUUCACACUAAAUGGAUAACAAGAAAAGUAAUGUAAAACUAACCUCGAAUACUCGAGUAAAACUAACUUUGUUGAUAUUAACAAAGUAGAAGAAAAGAACAAAGUAAUUAAUUGUAGAGAAAAUCUGAAAUCUGAAUUGUAUUAAGAGAAUUGUGUGUUCUACAAGCAUGGCUUAAUGCCUUUAAAUAAGAUUCUAAUUAUAGAAGUAAUCCUAGUUCUAAUUGUAUUCCUAAAACACUAAGUCUAAUAACCUAACAAAACAAUCCUUAUGGAAUAGGAAUUCCUAAUACUAAUAAUAUUACUAAAUAGAUAAAAAAAAGAAAAAAAGAAUCCUAAUGUAACUGUAACUCUGCAUCAGUCCCCCUUUGUUGAAAAAGACUCGUCCUCGAGGCUUGUUAGAAAGUGUGGAUCAUCCCCAUGAAAUGCAUAUAGGUCUGCAACAUUAAAGGUCGGAGAAAUGUUAUAACCUUCAGGUAAGUCAACCACAUAGGCAUUGUCAUUAAUUUUGCGUAAAAUCUUGUAAGGUCCAAUCUUCUUCAUCUUCAACUUGUUAUAUGUGCCAGUAGGAAAACGCUCUUUACGUAAAUGCACCAUAACAAGGUCACCAACUUCAAAUGUUUGUAAACGUCGAUGUGCAUUAGUGGAAGCUUUAUACUUUGCAUUGGCAGCUUCAAUAUUCUUUGUAGCCAUAUCAUGAAUUUCCGCAACUUGUUCAAGAAAUUCAUUAGCCAAUGUAUUGACCCCUGGAACGUGAGGAAGACUUACCAGAUCAAGAGUAUGCUUAGGAACUGUAGGAUAAACAAUCCUAAAAGGAGAAAAUCCCGUGGUGCGACUUUUUGAGGAAUUAUAAGCAAAUUCAGCAUGGGGAAGACAAAUAUCCCAUUGUUUGGGUUUGGCACCGGAAAGAGCUCUUAAUAAAUUUCCCAAAGUGCGGUUAACAAUCUCUGUUUGACCGUCAGUUUGUGGAUGGGCGGUACUACUGAAUUUCAAGGAAGUAUCCAAGCGACGCCAUAAAGUUUGCCAAAAAUGACUCAAAAACUUUGAAUCCCGAUCAGAAGUGAUAGACUGAGGAACACCAUGAAGACGAACAACAUCUCUAAAGAAUAAGUUAGCAAUGUACACCGCAUCAUGUGUCUUCUUACAUGGAAUAAAAUGAGCCAUUUUCGAGUAUCUAUCCACAACCACAAAAACUGAAUCACCACCACGUUGAGUGCGGGGUAGUCCCAAAACAAAGUCCAUAGAGAUAUCUAUCCAAGGUGCAUCUGGUACUGGGAGAGGAGUGUAAAGACCUGUAUUUUGAGAGUGUCCUUUGGCUUGUUGACAGAUAAAACAUUUUUUAACAAAAUUAUUAACAUCUUUCUUUAAAGAAGGCCAAUAAUAACGAGAUUCCACCAAGUCAAAAGUUUUAUCUUGACCCAAAUGUCCACCUAGUCCACCAGCAUGUAACUCCUUGAGAAAAUGUUCUCUCAAAGAACCUUGUGGAAUACAAAGGCGAGUUCCACGAAAAAGAAAACCAUCUUGUAAUAAGAAAUCAGAGGUACCUCCAGUGUUAUUAUAUAAUUUCUCCCAAAUCUCAGAAAAAUCAUGAUCCGUUGGAUACAAAUCCUUGAGAUAAUCAAAGGCAACAAUAGAAGCACGAACAGUAACAAGGAGUGAAACACGCCGACUUAAAGCAUCAGCAACUUUAUUUUGAACACCAGAUUUAUGUUUGAGAGAGAAUGUGAAUUUUUGAAGCUCUGCAACCCAACGAGCAUGCAUCCGAUUAGUAUGAGUAUUGCUUUGAAGAUAUUUGAGAGCUUCAUGAUCGGUAUAUAGAAUAAAAUGCCUUUGAAACAAAUAAUGUUUCCAAUGCCGAACAACUUGUACAACUGAAUAAAACUCAAGUUCAUAAGUAGUCCAUAAGCGACGAGACUCGCUCAAUUUUUCACUAUGAUAAGCAAUGGGCCUGCUUUCCUGUGAUAACACGGCUCCAAUGCCAUGAGCAGAAGCAUCACAAUCUACUUCAAAUAAUUUUNNNNNNNNNNNNNNNNNNNNNNNNNNNNNNNNNNNNNNNNNNNNNNNNNNNNNNNNNNNNNNNNNNNNNNNNNNNNNNNNNNNNNNNNNNNNNNNNNNNNCCAAAGUCCAAACAAGUCUUUCAAUGCGCCAUGCACAGAGAGAGUAGCAAUAGUAGAAAAAUUACGCACAAAACGACGAUAAAAAAAAAAGCCAAUCCAUGAAAAGAACGCACUUCCGAGAUGGUUUGAGGAGUAGGCCAUUCGCGAAUAGCUUUGACCUUAGUUUGGUCCACAUGAAUACCAUCUGCGGAGAUAACAUAACCCAAGAAAAGAAGACUAGACUGCAGGAAAGUACACUUCUUUAAUUGAAUCUGGAGUGAAUUACCUUGAAGUGCGUUAAAAACUUCGCGCAGAUAUUGGAAAUGUUCUUUUUCUGACUUGCUAUAUAUAAGAAUAUCAUCAAAGUAAACAACCACAAACUUGCCUAAAAAUGGCUUCAACACCUCAUUCAUCAACCUCAUGAACGUGCUUGGAGCAUUGGAUAACCCGAAGGGCAUAACAAGCCAUUCAUAUAGACCUUCUUUAGUUUUGAACGCAGUUUUCCAUUCAUCCCCUGGUCUUAUGCGAAUCUGAUGGUAUCCGCUCUUUAAGUCAAUCUUGGAGAAAAUUGUGGAACCCGAAAGCAUAUCGAGCAUGUCAUCAAAAUGAGGUAUGGGAAAACAAUAACGAACUGUGAUUUUAUUUAUUGCUCGACUAUCAAUGCACAUACGCCAAGAACCAUCCUUUUUUUGUACCAAAAGUGCUGGAACUGCACAAGGGCUCAUGGAAUCACGAAUGAGACCUUUAUCUAGAAGAUCUUGGACUUGUUCAUGUAAAAUAGCAUGUUCUUUUGGAGACAUCCUGUAAUGUGGAAGAUUAGGCAAAGAAGCACCUGGAACUAAAUCAAUGUGAUGUUGAAUAUUCCGCAUUGGUGGUAACGAGGUUGGAUAAUCUGUCGGGAGAAUACUAGAAAAUUCAUUCAAAAGAGAAGUGAUGGAUGCUGGAACAUCAACUACAUGGGAGCUAACACCUUGAGCAGCAAGAGCAUAUAUCACAUCUGAAUCAUUAAGAUCAUGCUCAUCAUCAGUAGACAGUAACAAAAUAGGUUUCUCUUGAGAAGGUGCUUGAGGAGGCUGGUUAGACUUCAUUGGAGUCAACACAUAUUUGACACCAUUUUUGGAGAAAAUAUAAGUAUUAGCACGACCCUUAGAAUCGACAUCAAGGUCAUACAACCAAGGUCAUCCUAGUAGCAUAUGAGAAGCAUUCAUAUCAACAACAUCGCAUAAAAUUUCAUCACUAUAAGAACCAAUUGAGAACGGAACGCGACAUUGAGAGACCACCAUAGUAGUAUGAUCGUCCUUAAUCCAAGAAAUAGAAUAAGGAUCUGGAUGGGCAGAUAAUGGCAAACCCAAUUUCUCAACAACAGCUUUAGAGAUGAUAUUCUCACAAGAACCCCCAUCAAUAAUAAACUUAACAAGUUUACCUUUCACUGUGCCUUGGGAACGGAAAAUUUUGUGUCGUUGAGAAGGAUCACCUUGCUUCGAAAGGAGUAGUUUGCGCACAAUGCAACAAUUGUCAUCAUCUUCAUUAAAAUCAUCCAAAGCUGGCUCAAGACCAUAAUCACCCUCUAAAUGCUCUACAAAUUUAGUAUUACAGUGCCCGUGCACCAUACAAAGCUGGAUUAUCAUCAUGGUGAUCAGGCCCACCCAUGUGGUUUAUCCCAAAAGGCUAGACAUAGUAGAGUAUGGUUAAGCUCUAUAUACUACCAAUACAACCACUUUCUUGGCAAUGUGGGACUAACACCAACUCAUGGGUGUUACAUCGGGUAGAAGGGUUUUGCGUAGUUGUGCGGUUGGUGGAUUGUGAGUAACGGUUGGUUGUGGAAAAAGAAUUGUUCGAAGAAUUUUGGUGUGGAGAUGAUGUUGAAGAAUUGGGUUGAGUGUUGGUAAGUUGUUUUUGAUGGAGUUUGGAGUAGGUAUUCGUUGUUUAAAGCUUCAGCAACUGCAGGAACAAACGGUUGGGGAAAAGUGGUGGUGUUGAUUGGUGAUGAUGGUUGUGGGUUGAAAGAGGAAACUUUAGGAAUUGAUGUAGAUGACGACGAAGACUUACCAAAAGAUUGAACUAUAAGCGCUGCAACGGAAUCAACAAUCUUCUUUAUUUGUUGUUGCAUAUCCAUCAUAAGCUUUUGAUUUCAAGACUCAAUCUUGUUCGCCCAAUUAGCAAAUUCUGUAGCAAGCUCUUCUUUGGUGACGUAAUUUGCAGAAUUUUGGUCGCCAACACUAUUCUUUCCUAUCAUGGUUUCUCUGCAGCGGAAAUUGAUGGCAGCGAUGAUUGUAAGGGUAAAAAGGGUGGUGGUAGAUGAAAAACACAGGUAAGAUCAACCUGCUCUGAUGCCACUUAAUGUAAAACUAACCUCGAAUACUCGAGUAAAACUAACUUUGUUGAUAUUAACAAAGUAGAAGAAAAGAACAAAGUAAUUAAUUGUAGAGAAAAUCUGAAAUCUGAAUUGUAUUAAGAGAAUUGUGUGUUCUACAAGCAUGGCUUAAUGCCUUUAAAUAGAUCUCUAAGAUUCUAAUUAUAGAAGUAAUCCUAGUUCUAAUUGUAUUCCUAAAACACUAAGUCUAAUAAUCUAACAAAACAAUCCUUAUGGAAUAGGAAUUCCUAAUACUAAUAAUAUUACUAAAUAGAUAAAAAGAAGAAAAAAAGAAUCCUAAUGUAACUGUAACUCUGCAUCAAAAAGUAUGCUAUCUUCCUGAGUAGAAAUAUCUCAAGAUAUUUUCCACUAAAAGGAUAUCAUUUUGAUGUUUAACCCGGCUUUCUUCAACUUAUCUCAAUUCUCAACAACUCUCUCAUUUAAAAUGUAUGAUACAUUUUCCGCCAAAUUGCCAAUUUCUUAAUCAACUAGAAGAUAGUGAUGGCUGUAAGAUUUUCCAAAUGCAUAAGAUUUUCCAAAUUUUUUUAACAUGUCAAUUAUAUAUAGAUUGUUGAAUCAAUUACACAAGGAAAUUAGUACAUCAAAAUCUAGGGCUUAUACCUCUUUCAUGAAUUGACUUUUGAAAUAAUUAAU